UGUGUUCUGGCCAGCCUGUUCCGCUCAGACUUCGUUGACGGCAAUGGACGGACACCUGGGACGGACGGCGAGCUGUCAGAAAUGUCACACCUGCCAUUCAGCGUUCCCGGGCCGCUCCCCGCCACAUUGCUCCGGUGUGUUCUCCCGUUAAUGAGGGAGCGUCCGUUAGAGAAUACCUCGAGCAUGUUUAAACAGCGGAACGAACGGAGCCUAGUGCUGCCUGCGGGCGACACAACAACGCAACUUUCUGUUUGUAACCUGAACCGCACCGGGAGAACGCUGAUGCCUGCCUGCUGCCUGCUUCAUGCAGCCUGCCUCCCUUCCAGCUGCUAGCCUGAGAAAUUAGGUACAUCUGACAAUCACUAAAAGCCUAAUCUCUGCCUGGGAGAAGAACGGAAAAAAGGAGGAGAAGAGGGAAAGAUGAGAAGAGAAAAAGUGGAGAGAGGAGAGACGUCCUCUGAGGAUUGUUGAGUGCUUCGUACAACUGGACUGAACGUCAGGAAGCUGUCUGGGAAUACUAGCUGUUUCCAGGACAUUAAAGACCUGCUCCGGUACUUUGGCAAGUUAUAUCAGCUGUUUUGGUGAACCACUCCCGCAUCUGAACUGCCUGACACAGAGGGCACAGCAUGAUCAUAGGUAUGUUUUUAUGUAAGAGAGGAAGCCAGUCCCGUCAUUGCCUUCUCACCCACCUUCAACCCUUUCAAAAGUACCAUCACACUGGUGUGAUCAUUCUACAGUGGUCCCUGAAGCGGUAUGAUUACACCCGUGUGAUUAGAACGCUUAUUUAGAACUGCCAGUUUUGAAUGACGCAACAAUCAGCACUUGAGCUGGCC